UGAUACCAGGGUAAAAAGGUCAAGUGCGUUCGGGCUUGCGCGAAAACACACUUGACCUUGGUACCCGCCCAAACAUGAGGAUGCAGCGAUUUACGAAGUAAAUCAGCGAAUCCGAAUGUUUGCAGGAUUGCGAGAGCAGUGUAACUGUGGAGCAAUCCGUGGGUAUCA
rnacentral:sRNA from 1 species